CUCCAGGUUUGCCCAGUGUUUCCAAGAUGAACAAGAGGUCUGAAGCAGAGAGUAAAACGCUACAGGGCAGUCUCUUCAGGAAAUGACAGUUUUGUUACCUGCCCUGGUGAUGCAGUCACCAUGACCACCGAAGCCAUGACUGUGAACACCACGACCACCACCAAAACUAACAACAUGACUGCCAUCACCGUCAUUUCACACUCAUCACCUUUACCAACAUCAGCAACAUCACCACCACUACCAAAACCAACGUAACGACCACCAUUGCUUUAUCAUUGUCACCACCACCACCAUCACCAACAUCAGCAUCAUUGCGACCACUAAACCUAUGAACGUGACCGCCACGACCAGUACCAUCACUGUCACCACCACAAAUGUCACUAUCACAGCCACCAGAGUCAAGACCAUGACUGUUGUCACCAUAACCGCUGUGACUGCUAUCAACAACCAUGACACCAACAAGGUGGGAGGAUGCUGUUGCUGACCUGCCAGGCUCUGUGGGACCCACCCUCACCAACACAAUGGCCAGCUUGUGCUUCUGGCCACCUGAUCCUCCCUGGCCUCAGGCCUGGCGCCAUGGACAAGGUGUGGGACCAGACACCUGGACCUGAAACUGUCCCCUUGGUGAUCGAGAAUGUAAGAUCCCCCUCUUUCAAAGAACUGGAUCAGUGAGUGAGGCUAAUUGCACCAGGAUCAGCACAAUACAACCUCAGCGGAGGCCUGGAUCUUCAUCCCAGAUAGAAGGCUGAAACUAUCAGGACACUGGCUCAGUCUACUGGCGUGGGUUCGCUGAGGGUUCAGUAGGCUUCAAGGGGGUGGGUCUUCAGGAUAAACAGGUGUGGGUAGGGAGUCGAAGGAGUCUUAGAGAUCUUAGAGAUGGAGGGGAGCCCAGUGUCUUAUGCCCUAGGUAUAAGCAUGUGGCUGUAACCAGGCCUUCCUGGCUUUGUCCUUUCCUCAAGGGGUUUAUGGUGGGUGGAAAGCUGGGAUGGAUAGAGCCACUUCCAGCAGAAAGGUGGCCGCUUCCUUUGAGUGGGGACCUUGAGCUGAAGGCUGGACAAGUGAGCGGGUGAGGGAUGUUGGAGGGAGGUCAAGGGAGCAGAGAACAGUCUGGCUAUAUUGCAACCAGCAGAGGACUGAUGCCUCUCACCCUUCCGUGUCCACCAGGGCCCAAGGAGGAGGCUGGUCCUGUGCUGAAGGCAGCUGGCUGCUUCCUCAGAUCCCGUCUGCUUCAGUUUCCAUCUGUAACGGUUUCCCAAACCAGAGUUUAAAUAAACGAAAAUACUUUGCUCA
rnacentral:lncRNA from 1 species